CCAGCCGUUAGUUUUUACAUAGUGUUAUGGUUACUAGCAUUCUCUGAUGAAUUAGGAUGCAUUUUCCCAAAAUUGAGAGUUUGCAGGAAUUCAUUGUAGAGUUGGCCUUAUGUGCUCUUCAAGCUUGGCUUCUGCUCUCUCACUGUUGUGUUUGACUGCUGCCAUGGAACGACUAAGAAUCUUGUUUUAUAAUCUUUCUGUUGGAGCAUGACAUGUCUAAUGAUCUACCCUAGAUGCGCAGGUUUUGUCAAGAAUCUGACUUGUAAUUUGUAACGGCUAAGGGACUUGCCGUUGCUUUUUGAAAUUUUAUGACCCCGAGGCGCUAGUUCUUACCCGGUAUUAUAGUAACUAGCGUUCUGUAAUGAAACAGGAUGUGUUUUCGCCAAACUGAGAGUUUACCUGAGUUUGAAACUAUCUACAUCUACUCUAGGUUUCUAUUUUUUCCCCCUCUUUUGUUGAGAGAUUUUUCUUUCUAACAUAUGUUUGUGAGUGCCUCAUUAUAGUAUUUAUCAGUUUGAAUAUCUAUUUCUACAAUGUUCUAUUUAUCCAUUUAUGGGUAAUAUGGGAAGACAUUAU
rnacentral:lncRNA from 1 species